GACGAACGCUGGCGGCGUGCCUAAUACAUGCGAGUUGAGCGAUGAAGCUUGGUGCUUGCACCAAUUUGAAGAGCAGCGAACGGGUGAGUAACGCGUGGGGAAUCUGCCUUUGAGCGGGGGACAACAUUUGGAAACGAAUGCUAAUACCGCAUAAUAACUUUAAACAUAAGUUUUAAGCUUGAAAGAUGCAAUUGCAUCACUCAAAGAUGAUCCCGCGUUGUAUUGGCUAGUUGGUGAGGUAAAGGCUCACCAAGGCGAUGAUACAUAGCCGACCUGAGAGGGUGAUCGGCCACAUUGGGACUGAGACACGGCCCAAACUCCUACGGGAGGCAGCAGUAGGGAAUCUUCGGCAAUGGACGAAAGUCUGACCGAGCAACGCCGCGUGAGUGAAGAAGGUUUUCGGAUCGUAAAACUCUGUUGGUAGAGAAGAACGUUGGUGAGAGUGGAAAGCUCAUCAAGUGACGGUAACUACCCAGAAAGGGACGGCUAACUACGUG
rnacentral:rRNA from 1 species